GUGCUCUCUUUAGCAGCAGCACGUAGCCUAAAACUGGAACAAUUCAAAGAAUAGCAUGGUCCCUAUACAAGGGGGACACACAAAUUUAUGAAAUGUCCCAUUAAAAA